AGUAGCUAGUCCCAAAUAGGACGAAACGCGCUUCCUGAAU
rnacentral:hammerhead_ribozyme from 1 species